GAAGCAACAUGAGCAGUGGCUCUACAGGAGUCAUUUUGGGGCUUGCCUUAAAACAGUAUGGCAACUGUUGACAAAUCAGCCUGCUCGCCCCAAGUAUGCAAAACAAGAGAGUCAUCAUUAUUCCAGUGUUCAGUAAAAUUAAUUAUUAGCAUGCAAGUCAUCCUGAGAGACGCCUGUUAAGGAUUAGGGCCCCACGGCACUACAUGCCAUGCAAAGAUGCAGUAGAGAAACAAAUGCCUUGAGGUUGGAGCAGAAGAGGACUGAGGUUCAAGGCGGCCGUCAGUAGACUCAAGGAAGGCACCCCUCUACAGAAUCAAGGCACCCCACAGAAAAUACACCUGUUCUGAUUAAACAUCUAAAGUAGAUGGUCUGCCACCCUCCAGUCGUCAGUCCUUGCCUGCCCGCCC